AUUGAACGCUGGCGGCAGGCCUAACACAUGCAAGUCGAGCGAGCGGCGGACGGGUGAGUAAUGUCUGGGAAACUGCCUGCUGGAGGGGGAUAACUCCUGUAAACGGUAGCUAAUACCGCAUACCCUCAGAUGUGCCCAGAUGGGAUUAGCUAGUAGGUGGGGUAACGGCUCACCUAGGCGACGAUCCCUAGCUGGUCUGAGAGGAGGACCAGCAACAAGGGAACUGAGACACGGUCCAGACUCCGACGGGAGGCAGCAGUGGGGAAUAUUGCACAAUGGGCGCAAGCCUGAUGCAGCCAUGCCGCGUGUGUGAAGAAGGCCUUCGGGUUGUAAAGCACUUUCAGCGGGGAGGCGUUACCCGCAGAAGAAGCACCGGCUAACUCCGUGCCAGCAGCCGCGGUAAUUC
rnacentral:rRNA from 1 species